CGUCUAUAUACGUAUAGCAUAUCAAUAAGCGGAGGAAAAGAAACUAACUAGGAUUCCCUCAGUAACGGCGAGUGAAGCGGGAAGAGCUCAAAUUUGAAAUCUUCAAGGUUCUACCUUGACGAAUUGUAGUUUAAAGAAGUGUUUUCUGUCGGAGUUUUGGUAAAAGUUCUUUGGAAUAGGACAUCAUAGAGGGUGAGAAUCCCGUAUUUGACCAUUUACUUCCAGCUGUGUGAUACACUUUCAAAGAGUCGGAUUGUUUGGGAAUGCAGUCCAAAAUGGGUGGUAAAUUUCAUCUAAAGCUAAAUACUGGCGAGAGACCGAUAGCGAACAAGUACCGUGAGGGAAAGAUGAAAAGAACUUUGAAAAGAGAGUUAAACAGUACGUGAAAUUGUCAAAAGGGAAGCGUUUGACACCAGUGUUGUUUUCUCGAAAAUCAAUUAAAAAUGGCUGGGAUUUUGUGUUGUAUUGACUUUAUCAGCUUUCUGCACUUUUUUCCUGUCUUUUUUAAUGCACUUUUCGUUUAACAAGUCAACAUCAAUUUCUUUUGUUGUAAAAGAGGUCAUUGGAAGGUGGCUUUCAUUUCGGUGAAAGUGUUUAUAGCCUUUGACUUCUGCAAUCGGAGAGAUUGAGGUCUGCAGCGUAGAUCCUUCGGGGUUAGAUACAUUUGUGCUAAGUUAUAGUUUUUCAUAGACAACAUGUUGACUAUGAUUAAUCAUGUAGCUUACUCGCUUAUGCUAUUUUACCUACGCUUAGGAUGUUGACGAUCAGCUGAGCGCG
rnacentral:rRNA from 1 species